rnacentral:rRNA from 1 species
GAUGAACGCUGGCGGCGUGCCUAAUACAUGCAAGUCGAGCGAACAGACGAGGAGCUUGCUCCUCUGACGUUAGCGGCGGACGGGUGAGUAACACGUGGAUAACCUACCUAUAAGACUGGGAUAACUUCGGGAAACCGGAGCUAAUACCGGAUAAUAUAUUGAACCGCAUGGUUCAAUAGUGAAAGACGGCUUUGCUGUAUCUUAUAGAUGGAUCCGCGCCGCAUUAGCUAGUUGGUAAGGUAACGGCUUACCAAGGCAACGAAGCGUAGCCGACCUGAGAGGGUGAUCGGCCACACUGGAACUGAGCCACGGUCCAGACUCCUACGGGAGGCAGCAGUAGGGAAUCUUCCGCAAUGGGCGAAAGCCUGACGGAGCAACGCCGCGUGAGUGAUGAAGGUCUUCGGAUCGUAAAACUCUGUUAUUAGGGAAGAACAAAUGUGUAAGUAACUAUGCACGUCUUGACGGUACCUAAUCAGAAAGCAACGGCUAACUACGUG